rnacentral:lncRNA from 12 species
AUGGAGAAAUAUUCUAUUUCACCAACACCUUGAAUAUCAGUUCCUACAUCGUACCUGGCCAGACAGAAAGACAGAAAGACAGAAAUUAGCAAAACGCUGUCCUUCAGGACGUGGAAAGCAUUGUGUUGGGACAAACCAGUGCGCCCCAUGCCUCUCUCUGUUCCUGGAAUGUUCCUCUGAUGCUGGAAGCAAUGACGAGAGAGAUGGAUCCACACCUUGUCACAGGCAGAGGCCAGUCGUUGGUGAUGGCACCUGUGGGUUUGUGAAGGAGCCACAACCGCAGGCGAAGUAACUAACAGGCACCAGGAUGUGCGUGAUGCUGUGUGAAGCGCCAGUACCCAGUGCCAAAGUAUUACCUUUCACCACCUGUCCUCAUAUUAUCGGCCUUUGUGAUACAACCAUACUCCAACUCCCUAUAGGAUUGGACUGAGGUUAGACUUUUUUUUUUUAAGAACUUAUUUUUUUAGAGUGGUUUUAACAAAAUUGAAAGGAAAGUACAAAGAUUUCUCAUACACCCCCCAUCUCUACACAUGCGAGGAACUCCCCCUCAUUACCAACAUCACUCCUCAGAGUGUCAGAGUGGUACAUUAUUUUUUAACCAAGAAUAAACCUAUACUGAUACGUUGUAGAUUUGAAUCA